GCUGGGAACACACCCACGCCUCCCCCAACCCAGCUGCAAGGGGAACUUGCUGAGAGUGCAACGAUGGCAGCCUAUAGACACCUUCACAGAGCGACUCACUGGGAGAGAGGAGAGAGGUGGCCGCCAGGAGGCAGACCUGUACAUUGAAGACCCGUGGGGAUCCCUUUGUACUCCGGAGAGGCGUUCAUGCAUCACAGCCCCAGAAAUGAACACAGCUUUUAUUGUAGAAUAUAAUUAAAAUCUUACAUUGUAUAGAAUUCAGGAAAUCAAAAUAACUAAGAUAUUACUUAUAUAUUUUUUCAUUAAAAUUUACACAGCCUUUU